UUCUCUGUGCUUCCAAUCGUCCAGAGCGAUCAUCUCAAUACGUACUCAUCAUCAAUAAUAUCGCUCUCUUCUCUUUAAUCACUAAUUUAAUAGUUCCUAAAAAAUCACUAAUUUAAUAUAACAAAGCAGAUCAGAGGUGCUGACGGCAAUAAAAUAAUAUUAGCAGAAGAUUAAUGACUUAAAUAUCACUAGUUUAUUCCUAGUGCAUCCAUCUAGACGACUAGCUUACACUUUUUUUUUGAAACUAACCAGAAAGAGAGGUGUCUAUUAUAUCAAAAACAGAAAGCCUAUACAUAGAGUCUACAAUAUACAUGCGCAACAGCGGAUAAAGAAAACAUACUCUAAAACUCGGUAUCACGUACGCCGAACCAGAGCCGUGCCAAAUGAUUUGCCAACAUAGAGUAGGGAGCAGUAGCAUUCAUCACGGGGCCAAAUAACAAAUUCCUAAUGACUUCCAGGACCCCAUGCAUAUUUGCCUCCUUCCAUACUUCAAUUUUAUAGUCCUGUAUGUAAGAAUGCAGCAAAGGUUAUGCUAGUGAUUUGCAAACUAAUAACUAGGCCAAAAAUGUAUUCGCAAUAAACUAAAGCAUAAUUUCCAAACAACCAAUAUUAAAAUAAACUAAAUCAUAAUUUACGAACAACCAAGAUAUGACGUGACAGCCAUAUACCAACUACAUCCUUUUGGCACUUAGCCAAAGAUGAGGCGGAUCAUCUAGACGUAUGUGAUGGCCAAGGGAAGUGGUUG
rnacentral:lncRNA from 1 species